CCAAUCGUCAGUUUUGCUGUUGGAAUUCAGAACUUGGUUGUUGCAUCCAAACUACUCCGAGGAGCAACAAGCACCGCUGAGAAUGCUAAACUAAAAAUAAAAGUUGUAGAAAAACAAAAGUUUGGAGGUGUUGUAGAAAAACAAAAGUUUGGAGGAGUAUGCAGAUGUGAUUGCACGAACCGUGUCGGCAAAGGAUUGUUCCCUUUAAUUUCUACAGAACCAUGACCGCCAAUCGGCAGUUUUGCUGUUGGAAUUCAGAACUUGGUUGUUGCAUCCAAACUACUCUGAGGAGCAACAAGCACCGCUGAGAAUGCUAAACUAAAAAUAAAAGUUGUAGAAAAACAAAAGUUUGGAGGUGUUGUAGAAAAACUAAAGUUUGGAGGAGUAUGCAGAUGUGAUUGCACGAACCGUGUCGGCAAAGGAUUGUUCCCUUUAAUUUCUACAGAACCAUGACCGCCAAUCCUCAGUUUUGCUGUUGGAAUUCAGAACUUGGUUGUUUAAUCCAAACUACUC
rnacentral:lncRNA from 1 species